AGGGUUUGAUCAUGGCUCAGGAUGAACGCUAGCUACAGGCUUAACACAUGCAAGUCGAGGGGAAACGACAUCGAAAGCUUGCUUUUGAUGGGUGUCGACCGGCGCACGGGUGAGUAACGCGUAUCCAACCUGCCCAUCACUUGGGGAUAACCUUGCGAAAGUAAGACUAAUACCCAAUGAUAUCUCUAGAAGACAUCUGAAAGAGAUUAAAGAUUUAUCGGUGAUGGAUGGGGAUGCGUCUGAUUAGCUUGUUGGCGGGGUAACGGCCCACCAAGGCAACGAUCAGUAGGGGUUCUGAGAGGAAGGUCCCCCACAUUGGAACUGAGACACGGUCCAAACUCCUACGGGAGGCAGCAGUGAGGAAUAUUGGUCAAUGGGCGAGAGCCUGAACCAGCCAAGUAGCGUGCAGGAUGACGGCCCUAUGGGUUGUAAACUGCUUUUAUAAGGGAAUAAAGUGAGUCUCGUGAGACUUUUUGCAUGUACCUUAUGAAUAAGGACCGGCUAAUUCCGUGCCAGCAGCCGCGGUAAUACGGAAGGUCCGGGCGUUAUCCGGAUUUAUUGGGUUUAAAGGGAGCGUAGGCCGGAGAUUAAGCGUGUUGUGAAAUGUAGACGCUCAACGUCUGCACUGCAGCGCGAACUGGUUUCCUUGAGUACGCACAAAGUGGGCGGAAUUCGUGGUGUAGCGGUGAAAUGCUUAGAUAUCACGAAGAACUCCGAUUGCGAAGGCAGCUCACUGGAGCGCAACUGACGCUGAAGCUCGAAAGUGCGGGUAUCGAACAGGAUUAGAUACCCUGCUAGUCCGCACGGUAAACGAUGGAUGCCCGCUGUUGGUCUGAAUAGGUCAGCGGCCAAGCGAAAGCAUUAAGCAUCCCACCUGGGGAGUACGCCGGCAACGGUG
rnacentral:rRNA from 1 species